UUUGCGAGCGAGCAGUUCCUUCGGGGACGAGUAAAGUGGCGCACGGGUGCUUAUUACAUGGGUAAUCUGCCUCUAAGUCAAGGAUAACUUCGCGAAAGUGGAGAUAAUACUAGAUAAGAUCACAACCCGUACGCGGGAAGGGAUAAAAGGCGACCUCUACUUGUAAGUUGUCGCUUAGAGAUGAGCUCAUGCACUAUUAGCUUGUUGGUAGGGUAAUGGCUUACCAAGGCUACGAUAGUUAGCCAACCUGAGAGGGUGAUUGGCCACACUGGAACUUAGACACGGUCCAGACUCCUACGGGAGGCAGCAGUGAGGAAUAUUGCGCAAUGGGGGAAACCCUGACGCAGCAACGCCGCGUGAGUGAUGAAGGCCUUCGGGUUGUAAAACUCUGUCAGGUAGGACGAAUCUUCAGAGGUGAAUAGCCUCUGAAGUUGACUGUACUAUCAAAGGAAGCCCCGGCUAACUCCGUGCCAGCAGCCGCGGUAAUACGGGGGGGGCAAGCGUUGUUCGGAAUUAUUGGGCGUAAAGGGCGUGUAGGUGGCUUUGUAAGUCAGACGUGAAAGCCCUCUGCUCAACAGGGGAAGUGCGUUUGAAACUGCAUUACUUGAGUUCGGGAGAGGAGAGCGGAAUUUCCAGUGUAGCGGUGAAAU
rnacentral:rRNA from 1 species